UAUAAAUCCUAGGUGGUGCCAACAAGAACAAGCUUUCUUUGGUAGGGAUGCAACUACCUGAAAAAUAUAAGGAGAAUUUUGACGUUUCGAGCGAAGGCCCUACGUAUGGAGUUACUAAGACGUCUGCAGUUAUUCAGUUACUCAAGACAAUUAAGGCCUUCGCCCGAAACAUCGAACUUCUCCUCAUAUUUUCAGGUAGUUGCAUCCCCAUACCAACGAAACCUAGCAAUACGUUUAGAAAAAAAGCGUGUCAAACCUGUCACGUCUGGUGUACCGCAAGGUUCAAUACUUGGUCCAGCAUUGUUCCUCCUCUACGUCAAUGAUCUGCCAAGCAAUGUGAAGUCAAGUCGUGUUGCAAUGUUUGCGGACGAUACCAAAGUCUUCAAGGCAAUACAAUCGCCCAAUGAUGCAAUAAAGUUAC